UGGGCAAACUUCUCGUGUUCGU
rnacentral:siRNA from 1 species